ACAGCUGUUUUAGUCCUUCCUUUUCCUGAGCUUAUAUAUGCUGUGACAACAUGGGGGGUUUGGAUCAAAGCUGAAUUGCAUUUGAUUGCCCUGAAGCAGAGAAAAGAAGAACUUGCAUCUUGAAAUUAGACACGGUUGGAUUUUCAGUGAAGGUGUUUCAGUGAAGACUUAAAUUCUUGAAUCUGACCCUAACUGCUGUGGUCUCACUUUUGUGUCUGCACUGAGUUUGUUACCUGGUGCCAAGUGAUCCUCUCUUCAUCAGGAUAAAGUCACUACAUUAUCAGCUUUUUACACCAGCUACUCAUCUCAGCUGGAGAAAAGAGCACUUGGGAGUCAGAGAGGAAAAGUGUUCAGUGAAGAAAUUCAGUGAUGAGGGAAGAGUUUCAUUGGUGUUGGAAGGCAAACACAGAAAAGUAAACACAGCCCAGUGGAUUACAACAGAUGAAUGGUCACCACUUAGUAACAACAUUAAAUCCUGCCUUUCAAGAGUCAAAAGGACUGGAAUCUGCUUCUAAGCCCACUGUUUUAGUGUCUUCCAUGUUUAUUGCUGAAGUUUUGCCAAAAGAACACCCUGCAGUUCUCCAGGUUUCAGAAGUAUUGCCUGUCAGAAAAGCCAGUGGAAUUCCUUAACAAUAACUGGACUUGCCUGCAGCCAGCAUGAGCCUCGUUCUUCCUAGACAGAUGGAUGUUUCACAGAGGGGCAAAUGAGAGCAUCUCUAUUAAGCACCUGAGACUCCUCUGUCACUUUGUCAAGUGUAACUUGUCCCAGGAAGCCCUUGGGUAUUUGCCUAGAGACAGAGAUUGUGAAUCUGAAGCUGAUACCUCUUUAGUCACUGAGAGUGGAUUUGGGGUUUUUUGUGCUGCUUAUACAAUGGUAAAACUGGGACUAUCACUAUAAAUAUUUCUGUUUGUUUAAGUUAAAGAAUGGAUGUGAUACACUUUAUGAAAACACACCAGUGACUGCAGGCAGUUUAAAAUGGUCUUAUGAGUUAAAAGAGACUUCUCAGGCAUGGAACACAUUUUCAGCACAUCAAUUCUCUAGUUUUGCAGAUAGGGGAAACAAAUCGUGUUUUGCAAAAAUAUGAACAUUGGAAUGAAUGUAUUAAUAUAAUGAAGAAAUGGACCUCUGCUAGACACGGGAUCUAUACCUUCUCUGUGCCUCUGACCUCAGUGUAAUAAUUUUCUGGAAUAUGGAUGGUAUGAAGUAAUUUUAGACAGAAGGUUGUACAGUAGUAAAUUUCACUGCAUGACAUUAAGAAUUUCUUUUAAUUGCUUUAGCAAUUAUUUUGUUUUAUGGUAAAAUUCUCUUUCAUUCUAGAGAGAAGCGUAAGUUGUGUAUCUGUUUUCAUGAAUUUUUACUUCAGCGUGCAAAAAAGUGUAACAGGAUUGUGUGUUUGUAUUAUACAUGUUCCCUGAGAAGCAUCAGAGGUUUAAAAUAAGAGAAAUGACAUUUAAAUUUCAUAUUUCAUAUUUAUAUUGUACAUGGGAUCUAAAUGAAGAGACUAGAACUGCAGGACACAGAUGGCAAAGACUUUUAGCUCUUGUUUUCAGGAGGCUGCUAUAAAUUCUGCUUCAGUAAAUUCUGUAGUCAUGAUGAGGUAACUUGAGAUAGCUUUUAACUUGGUGUCUGAUUGCCCUUUUCUGAAUAACAAAAUCUUUUGUGAUUCCGUAGCUUUCUGCUAUUUCUCCAAGGGGUGUAAUAUCUUGAGAUUUUACAACAUCUUUCUAACACCAAGCAGUUGCACUGCUUUCAUAUUGCAAGAGACACACUAGAUAAAUAGAUUCUUAUUAACAGAUGCAUGUGAAUAUAAAAGCAUACUAGAAA